AUUGAACGCUAGCGGGAUGACUUACACAUGCACGUCGAACGGCAGCGCGGACUUCGGUCUGGCGGCGAGUGGCGAACGGGUGAGUAACGUAUCGGAACGUGCCCAGUAGCGGGGGAUAACUACUCGAAAGAGUAGCUAAUACCGCAUACGCCCUACGGGGGACAGGGGGGGAGCGCAAGACCUAUCACUAUUGGAGCGGCCGAUAACGGGUUAGCUAGUUGGUGAGGUAAAGGCUCACCAAGGCGACGAUCCGUAGCUGGUUUGAGAGGACGACCAGCCACACUGGGACUGAGACACGGCCCAGACUCCUACGGGAGGCAGCAGUGGGGAAUUUUGGACAAUGGGGGCAACCCUGAUCCAGCCAUUCCGCGUGUGCGAUGAAGGCCUUCGGGUUGUAAAGCACUUUUGGCAGGAAAGAAAUCGCACGGAUUAAUACUCUGUGUGGAUGACGGUACCUGCAGAAUAAGCACCGGCUAACUACGUGCCAGCCGCCGCGGUAA
rnacentral:rRNA from 1 species